ensembl:lncRNA
GGCAAUGCACAGGAGCAUUAAAUAAGGAGGGGAGGAUGUAACCCACAAUAAAAAUCCAGCUUAUAUGGAUACACAUGUAAAUAUAAACACUGAAAUUCAUAAUUAUUUCAAUAUCGAGAAAUCAAGUUAUUAAUAUUGUUUAGCCAAUCUGUAUAUUUUGUGAAACUAUGAAGUCAUCACCCCACGUCUUGACCCUAGUCAGACACCACUAUGUCACAUAACAGCAACAACAACAUGAGCAAACAAUAAACGGCUGUAUUUUUUUAUUUAAAAAAAAACAUUAACACAGAUUAAUAAAUGUAUUGUUCCAUGUUUGUCUUGUUGUUGUGUUGGGUUUGUAUUUAGCAUGCAAGGUUUAUGCACAUGCUCCAAGUCUUAUUCUCCAUUUUUAGUAUAUCUCUUUCCACAAUUACACCUACUGAUCUGGCAUGUAUACUACAUUGUUUUGAGUCAUUUCAGUGAUUUUGUGUGUACACCGAUAUUUCUUGAGACGACGCCGUGUUUAUGGAAGACCGAGGAAAAAAAAGAUUGGAUAGGGAAAGCUCUGGCUCCGUGUGGAUGUGGCCUUACUUACCUUUUGUUACCUGUGUUAUUCUUGUUUGUUUUUCUUUUUUUUCUCCAGCUGAUCCAAACAACUGAUUUUACUGUGUUUACUGUGCUACAGUAAAGUGUUAUUUUUUACAUCCAAACUGCUGUUUCCAGCAUAGGUUUUUAUAUCUGUCCCCCACUUCUUUCGAGUCUAGAACUAGUCCAGUGGAUAGUAUUUGCAUUGGAGGAUGCAAGUUCUACAUACACAUUUGCAGGGGUGUGUCUACGUGGUGGCCAUGGGUGGCACCGGUCCCCCCUGAAAUUUGGCUGGCCACCCCAGGUGCUCCCCCCUACCAGAUGUAAUUCAGGUGAGGAGUAGGCUUAUCUCACUAAAUGGAAGCAAGCUGAUUAUAGUCAGCCUUCUCUAGUUAUUUAUUUUAUUAAUAGCCUUAUUUUAGUCAUGUGCUUGAAUUGUAAAUAUGCAUUUAUUAAAUUAUUUUAUUUAGUGCAUUUGUAGGCUAUUUUGUUGUUUUUGUAUAUAGUUUUGCAAUAAAAGCGUAUCAACCAGGUUCCAGAAAUAAUCACUGAAGGUGCUUCUGAAAUUAGUGAGGGUGCUCUAGGUUUAAUGCACAUUUUCACAUAUUUUGUCCAGUAUAUUGCUAUGGUUAUCACUAUGUCAAUCACUGCUACUUCCAAAGUGAAUCCUGCAUAAAUAUGCAGAUGUCAUUCCAGAAACUUUGCAAUGUGUGUGUGGCCGAAAAACAAAGUUCUACGUUUUAAAUGAAUUAUAGACUAAAAUGCUUUGUACUCAUUUUAUCUUGGACAAAGUUAUGCCAAUUAAAAAAUUGCCUACUUUAACAUAACUGAGGAAGAUCCAGUAAGUUUCCUGAGCUAUGACACAGCAACAUCUGUGGAAUAAAUUUGUCCUCUGGGAAUCAAUAGCCCUGUGAAUAGGUCAAAUUCCAUAGUUCAAUAGAAAAAAUGGGAACCGUUUUAUGGAAAUUACUUUGUUCAACUAGAAAGACACUUUACAAGUUUUUAGAAAGCUCAUGACUGUCCUUGAAUCUGAUUUUCCCCCCUCCAUUUGGCUCAUUCUUUGUUCUCCUUGUACCUCUCUGAUGGCUGUGAUCAUGUGACGAGAGGUUUUUCCUACUUAUUACCCUCUUCACUGGAGCACUUCAAGGCAUCAUCCUUUUUUUUUAUUGCAGCUCCUCUCUGUCUUCCAUUUUCUUCUCUUAUAAGAAGGUCACAAACACUCGCCUCUCUGUUGGGGUCAAUUUCUUUCUUUUUCUCCCCUUAGACACUCAUCUCACUUAAUCUCUCUUAUGUUAAAUUUGACCUGUGCCUCAGGUUGUGGAUUUAAAGAGAUAUGAAUUCAUCAUCUGUCCUUUUGGAUGGUAGUUUUGCUUGCGUAUAAGAGCCUGUUACAUCAGCCAGUCCACAUUUUUAGGCUGCUUUACAGUGGUCUUACAGCACUUGUCAAUGUUAAAAUAAUUGAAAUGGCCAAUCAAAUCCAACGGACUUUAUCUUUCACAGGGGAGAAAAACUUAAAUUUUAACAGAGAAAGAGUGCUAGAGAAUGAAAUAAAAGCAGCACAGAAGUGCUGAGCUCAGACUGCCCCAAACUCUCUUAAGAUGCGACUUGACAACAUCAAUGCUCAUUUAUCUAUAUUACUAUAGGCAGCAGCCAAACAGCUACAUUUGUCCUGUAGUCCUUGGACAGGUUGCAAAACCAAUGAAAUCAGCAAACAAGCAGUCCAUAAAAAUACAUAAAAGCAGAUAAACCCAGUUUCUCAUAAACUCACUGCCCUCCAUUGACUGCACUAACAUGCAUUUAAACAUCCCCUCAUGCAGCAGACAUUAAAACAUGUAUACACACAAAAAAUCAAAUGGGAAUUAAAAUCAGAUCAUGCAUCCUUACAGUAACUAAUUAAGUCAUUACACAACUUGUGGUUUAUCACACUAGUAGAAAAGCAAAAAAUAAAUAAAUAAAUAAAUAAAAACCAUAUCCUGCAUAAUCUACUUUGGCACACAUUUUCCGCCUAAGGUUGUCUCUUGAUCUCUUAAUGAGACUGGUUGACUCUCAAAAACACUGCCAAACCUGAUACAUUACAAUUAACCUGUGCUUUGACGCAAAGGUAAUUUCUGGCUAGAAAAAAAAAAAAACAAUGCCAUUGAGGGUCCCUUGAAGAAUCAUAGUAAAAACUAAAAUAAAAAUAUUAUUAUAUAUUUAUUUACAAUAAAGAAAAACGUUUUUCUUUUACAGUUUUUCUCGAUUGCUUAAACACUAUAAGCAGGCUUUUGAGCUAAGAUUUCAAGACCAUAAUGACAUUUUUCAGAAAGCACACCCAUUUUGCUGAACUAUAAAUACUAUUCUCCUGCUUUAACACAUGAGUCAGAUUUGGUGAACUCUUACUGCAAAACUCAACACACAAAUCCCUACAUUUCUCAGUCCUUACACCAUGUGGUCAUUUAGAAAGCACUAGCAUUCAAUAUUAUUCACUCAAGUCAGCAUAACUUGAGCUCAUUUAGCACACAGAUACCCACGUGGAAACACUAAGAGUCAAAAUUUAUCACACACCAAUCUGAACCUUCAAUAGAUAGAUAAAAGAGCCCCAUUCAGUUCAUUAAGUUUUGGAACAAUGGAUCCAGAGAGACGUGAUUGAAAAGGUCGAGGACACCAGAGAGGAGUAACAGGAGGAAGAGGAUGAGCAAGAGCAGUAAGGAGUGGAGGAAGAGGUGAAGGAAGAGGAAGAGGAGGAGGAGGAGGGGCAAGGAGACAAGGAGUCUCAGAUGAAAUUUGUGCCACUAGUUGACCAUGUCCUUGUCCAUGGUUUGACUAUGAGGGAGGCUGGGCAAUGAGUUCAGCCAAACUUAAGUUGCUUCACCGUCGCCUCGAUCAUAAGAACAUACAGGGAGGAAAACAGGACACAGAGACGAUGGAAUGGAAGAAGCCUGACUAGACAUUACAGUUGAUGUAUGACAGGGGUGGAUCAGUCAUGCAAGAGGAUUUUACCCCCGCUGCCUGGCUAGGGCCAGUAUAGCCUGUGAUGUCUGUCCCAGACCAAAGAUGUGAUGCUGGGGCAGAAUAUUUUUUUGUUGUUGUUGUUUGGUGUAUUGUACUGUACAGUACAUAAAGGAAUAGAAAAUGUGCAAAUACACACAUGCUCAUCAUGUGAAAUGUUCUUUGAGGGGGAGAACCACAAGCAACAAGUAUUGGUUUUUGUAGUAUUGUUUUGAAUUUAACUCACCGGUGUGUAAGACUAUGUUGUAGUGUGUGUGCUUUUGAGGGCUUGUGUGUGAUGUCAACGUGUUUUUCAGCAAGAGUGAAUGGUUUUGAGUGUAGAGCUUCAUUUUGACCUGAAAAUAGGUUGUUUGGGUAACUGUGUGAGAGGUUAUCGAUUUGUGUUUACUGUUUUGAGAAUAUGAGCCAUAGUUUCAAGAAAUGUGUUUAAGCAAUUGAGAAAAACUAUAAGAACUGAUCACUGAAAUGUUCUUUGUGGAAGCCAAAAAUGGCAUUUGCUGAGAAAACCCCCUUUUGGAACCUUUAUUUUUAAAGGGGUCAUAUGAUGCGAUUUAAAUUUUUCCGUUCUCUUUGGAGUGUUACAAGCUCUUGGUGCAUAAAGAAGAUCUGUAGAGUUGCAAAGACUAAAGUCUCAAACCCAAAGAGAUAUUCUUUAUAAAAGUUAAGACUUGUCCACGUCUUCCUAAAACGCCUCAUUUAAAAAUGCCCCCACACGUCUACGUCACUGUGUGGGAAGAUUUUCAUAACACCGCCCAAAUGUUCAUGCAGAGAAAGAAGGCACAAUGUUUAUUCUCGCUGUAGUAUUGUUGUUGCCGCCAUGUUGUGGAGACGCUGUGUGUCAUUGUGAAAGCAAAACUACUUUGUUUGGCCUUCCAAAAGAGGAUGAUAUCCGCUUCGUCAUGUUUAGAGCUGAACCGUGCUGGUCUCUGUGGAAAUACAUCAACUUCGCGCUGUGGAUAGUCAGAUUGGGUUUCAUUGUGGACGAAGUGGAGUCCAGUCCCUGGGUCAUCACAUUUGUCGAAUCUGCUGGCCGCGCCAUUCUCUAACCCGCCGGCCGUUCCUCACUCAAGCCCGCAGUGUCUGACGCUGUGUGACACAUUUUAUGGAGGACUGUUUCCUGAACCUGCAGACUAGCCUACGAUGGGUGUGCGCUCAAAGGCUGUUCUAUAAAGUGAGGCAGUUCCAACUUUGCAAGGGCAGUCUGGUGCUUCUGACUCACAGCCUGGCACUUCAGCCAUGGGUAUUGAGGGUGGAAGAGAGCACUGUUCAUUCACUCCCCCCCACCUACAACUCCUGCCAGCACCGAGACUCAAACCUGUGACCUUCUGGUUACAAGUCCAAUUCUCUAGCCGUUAGGCCACAGCUGCCCCGUAAUGCGAAAAACACAGUAUAAGUCAUUAUAAGUAAUUAUGUCCCCACUGGAUGCAACAAAUGCCUCAUGUUUUAAUGGGUUUUAUUGGUUUUGUCUGGUCGUGCCAUGAGACGGUAUCACAGUAUGGUGAGGGGCAUAACAUUUCCGUCACACGCUUGAGGUAUUCAGCCAAUCACAACACACUGGAUAACUGGCCAGUCAGCAUACACCUCGCUUUUCAGAACGAUGAGCUUUGUAAAAAUCAACAUGUUUCAGAAAGGCGGGGCAUAGAGGAGCAACAAUAAUGUACAUUGUGUGGAAAAUAAUGUGUUUAUUUUAACCUUAAACCUCAUAAAAACAUUUCAUUACACCAAAUACACAACAUAAUGUUCUUUUUAUCAAUGUUAUAUGACCCCUUUAAGUUUAGGGCAGUGGUUCUCAAUCUUUUUUCCACUGGGCCGCACUAUGGUCCAAGUGCAAGUAUCACGGGCCACAUAUCAUUUACAUAUUACGUCACCAAAACAAACCAAACUGAUUUAUAAUAUUAUAGCCUAAAUAUUAUGAUAUCUAAAUGAUUACAUUUAUUGAAAUAAAUAAAUAAAUCCUAUUGAUAUAUCACUUGCAUAAUAAUUCUGUCUGGGUUGACAUUUCUUAAAAUACAUAAGAAUUAAAAUAACUGUUGUUGUCUAUCUGUGUCUUGUGUUUUUUUUAUGUAUUUAUUUUUUAAUCUUUAACCAGGAAAAUACUCAUUGAGAUAAAGAAUCUCUUUUACAAGUGUGUCCUGACUGAAAUCUUGUUCUGUACUCUUGAGAACCCAGACUUCUCAGACUCAUCUUCAUCAAAAAUAUUUGUGUCCAACAUAAAACAAAUUCAGAAAUCACUAUUAUAAAAAUGGAAAGUUAUAUUCCUUUAUUAUGAUUGCCCUAGACGUAUUUUGAGUUGUUGUAAAAUACACCAUAAACACACACCUGUGGCCUCGUAACAUCAGUAUUGCUGCACAACUGUGUCUGUGUCUUGCUUGGCAUUUUGCUAAACAUUGCUGAACAACUACAUUGUGUGCCGG